rnacentral:misc_RNA from 1 species
GAUGAAGAACGCAGCGAAAUGCGAUAAGUAAUGUGAAUUGCAGAAUUCAGUGAAUCAUCGAAUCUUUGAACGCACAUUGCGCCCGCCAGUAUUCUGGCGGGCAUGCCUGUCUGAGCGUCAUUUCAACCCUCAUGCCCCUAGGGCGUGGUGUUGGGGAUCGGCCAAAGCCCGCGAGGGACGGCCGGCCCCUAAAUCUAGUGGCGGACCCGUCGUGGCCUCCUCUGCGAAGUAGUGAUAUUCCGCAUCGGAGAGCGACGAGCCCCUGCCGUUAAACCCCCAACUUUCCAAGGUUGACCUCAGAUCAGGUAGGAAUACCCGCUGAACUUAAGCAUAUCAAUAAGCGGAGGGA